rnacentral:rRNA from 1 species
UACGUAGGGGGCAAGCGUUGUCCGGAUUUAUUGGGCGUAAAGAGCGUGUAGGCGGCCAGGUAGGUCCGUUGUGAAAACUGGAGGCUUAACCUCCAGCUGUCGAUGGAAACCAUCUGGCUAGAGUCCGGAAGAGGAGAGUGGAAUUCCUGGUGUAGCGGUGAAAUGCGCAGAUAUCAGGAAGAACACGCGUGGCGAAGGCGGCUCUCUGGGACGGUACUGACGCUGAGACGCGAAAGCGUGGGGAGCGAACAGG